UCCCUGGUGGCUCAGAUAGUAAAGAAUCUGCCUGCAGUGCAGGAGACCCAGGUUUGAUUCCUGGGUUGGGAA
rnacentral:tRNA from 1 species